CAAGACACAAACCACUCCAUUUCAGAACGAACUUCACCCGAACCUGAAUUGUCCAAUUUCAUGGACCAUUCGAUAUCGCAUUGAGUCCAAAACUUGGGGAACAUCAUGGGAGGAGUCGUUUUGUGAGUUUUGAGUGGAAUCCAAAAUGUAAAACUAUGCAAAACACAAACCACUCCAUUUUAGAACGAACUUCGUACGAACCUGAAUUGUCCAAUUUUAGGGACCAAUCGAUAUGGGAUUGAGUCCAAAACUUGGGGAACAUCAUAAUAUGGUGGGAGUAGUCAUUUGGUGAGUUUUGAGUGAAAUCCAAUCUCUAAAACUAUGCAGUACACCAACCACUCCAUUUCAGAACGAACUUCGUACGAACCUAAAUUGUGCAAUUUCAUGGACCAAUUGAUAUCGGAUUGAGUCCAAAACUUUUGGAACAUCAUAAUAUGGUGGGAGGAGUCAUUUCGUGAGUUUUGAGUGAAAUCCAAUCUCUAAAACUUUGCAAUACAACAACCACUCCAUUUCAGAACUGUUGAAGGAAAAUUGUGAUCUUCCUAAUAUAAUUUCACCACCAAUAAUUAAAUAAUGGGGUUUUAUUAUUUUAGAUUCGACCCAUUCGAGACGCAAGUCUCUUAAUUACAAUCCCUUGCUUCAAGGGAAAACCCUUUGAUUCCAUCGUGAAGAAACAGAACGUGUGUGUUUGAUUUUGCAGCUGCUCUCAAGUCCAACCUCAGGAUGCCUACGUAUCCCUUGCGGGAAUCAAGCCACUCGUAGUUCAAAGAUUCAUGAUGAAUAAAUGACUCAUCGCAAAACGAAAAAUUUGAAUGAGUUUGAUUGAGGAGUGCUUGAGUGAAUUUAGCUGAAUAAACC
rnacentral:lncRNA from 1 species